CGGUGAUGCAGAGCUUGCUCUGCUGAUCAGUGGCGAACGGGUGAGUAACACGUGAGUAACCUGCCCUUGACUCUGGGAUAAGCGCUGGAAACGGCGUCUAAUACCGGAUACGACCUUCCCCGGCAUCGGGUGGGGGUGGAAAGAUUUUUUGGUCAAGGAUGGACUCGCGGCCUAUCAGCUUGUUGGUGAGGUAAUGGCUCACCAAGGCGACGACGGGUAGCCGGCCUGAGAGGGUGACCGGCCACACUGGGACUGAGACACGGCCCAGACUCCUACGGGAGGCAGCAGUGGGGAAUAUUGCACAAUGGGCGAAAGCCUGAUGCAGCAACGCCGCGUGAGGGAUGACGGCCUUCGGGUUGUAAACCUCUUUUGGCAGGGAAGAAGCGAAAGUGACGGUACCUGCAGAAAAAGCACCGGCUAACUACGUGCCAGCAGCCGCGGUAAUACGUAGGGUGCGAGCGUUGUCCGGAAUUAUUGGGCGUAAAGAGCUCGUAGGCGGUUUGUCGCGUCUGCUGUGAAAUCCCGAGGCUCAACCUCGGGCCUGCAGUGGGUACGGGCAAACUAGAGUGCAGUAGGGGAGACUGGAAUUCCUGGUGUAGCGGUGGAAUGCGCAGAUAUCAGGAGGAACACCGAUGGCGAAGGCAGGUCUCUGGGCUGUAACUGACGCUGAGGAGCGAAAGCGUGGGGAGCGAACAGGAUUAGAUACCCUGGUAGUCCACGCCGUAAACGUUGGGCGCUAGAUGUGGGGACCAUUCCACGGUUUCCGUGUCGCAGCUAACGCAUUAAGCGCCCCGCCUGGGGAGUAC
rnacentral:rRNA from 1 species